CUUUGAUCUGCUUUUAGCUUUUGCUGCUGUGUCUUUUCUAUUUGUAUUUUUUACAACUCUGUUCCAAGGAAGGGGAAACCUUCACAGUGGGCUUAUCUCAGAGAUCACAUCUUGCCAUGUCAGUAGGCAGCCUGCUUGAAAGACUGCUUGCUCUCUGAGAUGCCAAAGUGCACUGCAUGGUUUGUUAGGGAAAGCUAUUUUUGAAAUGCCCAAGAAAGGAUUUAGAAAAUAUAACUUAAUUUUAUUCCAGUCUAAUUAAAGGAAAUUAAGCAAAGAAAUUAGAUUCAUGAAAAUCGCAAGCAAAAGUAAAAAACAAGGCAAGUUCAUUGUCAGACCCUACCCUUUAUAAACACACUGCCCAAGUAGGAAAAGUUCCCACCCAUUUGGAGAUCUUUGCACAAGAAAAAAUGAACAGCAUUUGAGGAAGAAACCAGUAAGAAUAAGAAAGAAAAAGAAAGCUCAUUGAUUUUCAGGGUUCACUAUAAUUCUGUGGAAUUUAGUUUAGCCUUCAAAAUGUAUUUCCUCUUAGUCACAUGUGAUGUGCAGAGCCUGACUUUCAUGUUUGUGCUGUCAGAUUCCUUUUUUGAAGAAGUUAGGCAUUUUGUAGUUGGUGAGAUGGAUCCAGGCCGAUGUAUGUGAGAAUGGAUUAUACAGUGGGUGAUGAGGAGCACUUAAACUCUCCUCCACCUUGGCACCUUAAAAAUAGCUCAGCCCAAGCUAUUAUAGAUGUCAGUGCUCAGGCCCAUUUAAGGAAACCUGUCUCUUUGAAGGUUGAUCUAGAAUGCAUCUAUGGGCCUUCUCAAGUCCUCUUUAAGGCUGUUCAAAAUCACAUGUGCUGUCUGCCGGCUUUGAUCUGAACAGCAUGACAAACCCUUGCUCCUGGAAGAACGAAUCAACCACUCUCCUCUGCCUCUCAGUCUCACACCCUUUUUUUGUUGUUGUUCUUGGGAUUGAACCCAGGGGCGCUUAACCACCAAGCCACAUCCCCAGCCCUUUUUAUUUUUUAUUUUGAGACAAGGUCUCACUAAAUUGUUUAGAGCCCUGCUAAGUUGCUGAGGCUGGCCUCAGAACUUGGGAUCCCCCUGCCUCAGUCACCAGAGUCUCUGGGUUUACAGGUGUGUACCACUUCUCCUGGCCCAGUCUCGCACUCUUCACAUUUUUAUUAUCCCAUGAGUUUACCCUUGAGUCUCUAGCUUAUUAACUCAUUUUUUAAUUUGUUUUUAUUAGUUACACAUGACAGUACAAUGACCUUGACAUAUCAUACAUUUGAAUCAGAUGGGAUAUAAUUUCUCAUUUUUCUGAGUAUACAGGUUGCAGAAUCACAUUGGUCAUGCAGUCACAUAUAUAAACACAGUAAUAAUCAUGUCUGUUUCAUUCUACUAUCCUUCCUAUCUCCCCAACUCAUUUUUUUUUUCAGUGCUGGUUUCUGAUACAUGGUAGGCCUGAUGCAUGGUAGGCAAGCAUUGUACCGCUAAGCCACAUCCCCAGUCUUAUUAACUGAAUUUUUUUGUUUGUUUGUUUCUUUUCCCCUGCCCACAUUUUUUAUUGGUGCAUCAUAGUUGUACAUACUGAUGGGAUUUAUUAUGUAUUCAUACAUACACACAAGACACAAUAAUAUUACUCCCCAGCACUUAACUGAAUUUUUUAUAUCAUAAACCCACUUUUAUAAUGAGCCAAACUGCCAGCUUUUAAUGCUCUGUGCAAGUUUCCAACUAGACUUACAAAAACACAGUCUCCACCAGGUUGUGUUAAGUGUGCGGAGAUGUAGCACAGUUAACCCUGCUUUCCUAGCCUGCCUCCCCUGAAACAACUGCCCACAAUACAGGGAAAUGUCCAUGCCAUCAAAGCACUGGUAGCUUCCUGCACUUGCUGCCUGGUGUUGUCCUCCAAUGUCAGAUGAAUCCAGCCAGCACCUCUCCUGAGUAGUGCUUCUUAGUCUUGGAGACAUACACACACACACAAUCACUGGACACAUUUGUUGAGAUUUGUAUCAAAGUUAUAUGUGAAUUAUAUAUAAAUUCACAUACUUAAGGCAUAUUUUUUCCUAGAGAUUCUUUUUUUUUUUUUUUGGUGGUGGUGCUAGGAAUUGAACCCAGGGCUUUGUACAUGCGAGGCAAGCACUCUACCAACUGAGCUAUAUCCCCAGCCCUUAGAGAUUCACAUACAUUUAAAGUGGAGGAAAUCCCUUUCUACUCGCUGAAUUAUUAGCCUAGAGAAAAGUUAUUAUUUUGAUCCAUUUGAUUUAGUCAUAAUCAUUAGAAGACUUGGAGCUUUUAAAAAAAAAAACUUGGAGUUUAAUUUUAUAUAAUAAAAAUGAUGAAUUGAACAACAUAAGACUAUUUACAAGCCCCUAGAGGUCAAUGUCAUUCACUUAUGAAUUAGGCAGUUGGAAUCCAAACUCAUCACAUUGCUAUUCAAAUAGAACAAAUUUAUUAAUUAUUCAGUAAGAACUAAAUAGCCAGGAGUCAUUUCUGGCACUACCACCCCUUCAGCUAUUGGCCUUUGGCCAAUAUUAAUAACAAGUAAAAUUUAUACUCCUUUUCCAAUAUUCAAAUACAUAAUCUCUUAUUUUCAUAUUAACUCUGAGAUGAAUAUAUUUUCCAAUAGGUGGGUGGAUGAACAAACUGAGGUGGAGAUCAGAUGCUCCCCUCAAGUUGUCCAGCAGGUGGCAGCAGUGGCAGUGCCUGAGCCUGGUCUUCCAACACUGGUCUCCCUCUCCCUCUUCCUCUCUCCGCUUUCUGAGCUCUUUUCUAUUUCCCUUCUAAUCUAUUAGUUUUUUCUUGAUAUAAAAAACAGAAGGUUUCUGACUGUUCCUCCUUUGUUUCAGAGGGACUGUUGCCAGCUCUGACCCUCAGUCCAGCAUUUAUCUGAAGAGAUAGACAUAGAAGGGCAGGAGUAAGCAUUUAAAGUUGACUGGAUUUGAGCCAUUUAACCUGUCCCUUAUGUUUACCAAGCGUCUUUAGAAAAUUGACAGACAGGCUGAGCACAAUAGUAUUCACCUCUGUAAUCCCAAUGACUAGAGGUUGAAGCAGUUCAAGGCCAGCUUCAGCAACUUAGACCCUAUCCCAAAAUAAAGCAUAAAGAGGGGUUGGGGUAUGUCCCAGUGGUAGAGUAUCCCUGGAUGCAAUCCCUAGUACUAUAAGAGAAAGAGGGGAAAGGAUGAGAGAGGAAGAGGAAAAAGGGAAGGGGAAAAAGAAGAGAACAUGACAGUUUGCCUUCUGUCACAAGAUUGCAGUCUUACAUUCCUGUGUGGUUUUUUUUUUUUUUUUUUUUUUAAUGUCUGUUUCUAAUGUCUAAUGACUUAACUAUUCUUUGGGGUGUGGACAAAGGUUAAGACAAUGGCCUUUCUAAAGCUUCCCAGUGAAUCAAAAACCAUCAGAAAUCAAACCCCAAAUCAGUUUUCCAAACUGUCAUUCUAUAGGACAUAGUUUAUUUUGUUUUUUUUUAAGAGAGAGAGAGAGAAAUUUUUUUAAUAAUUAUUUUUUAGUUUUCGGUGGACACAACAUCUUUGUUUGUAUGUGGUGCCGAGGAUCAAACCCGGGCCUCACACGUGCCAGGCAAGCGCGCUACCGCUUGAGCCACAUCCCCAGCCCAAGACAUAGUUUAUUUUGAAUUCCAUAUUUUGAACAGCUUUAGUAAAAUUUUUAACUCACAACCACAGAAAAUAAUUAAUUCUGUAAGGACAGGAAUGAGGCAGUUGGGUGCCUGUGUCAAACUAUAUCUUCCAACUAACUAUGUGAUCCUGAAGAACUCAUAUGAAUUUUCCAGAAGCAGAAGUUAAAUUGGACAUAGAGGGUCCAUUCCAGAUUCAAUACUCUGUGGUUCUCAGAGUUAUAAUUUACCAUGUAGCUUGAUGAACUUUUUAUGUUUGGGGCCCAUGCAUGGAAUCUAACCCUGGGUUAUUGUCUUAGGGUGACCCAGGGAAGGCAGAAGGGGGACAGCCACAAAAAGACAGCAUGACAGGAGACUUCUACAGAACAGGCCAGGGAACUUCCUAGAAGUGCAAACUGGAUCUGAGAGCAGCAUAAACAGGUCACCCAAGGGUCAUGACUCAAAUAGUACCAAGCAGGAGGAGGAGGAAAUUAAGACCUGGCACAAGAUCUGCAGCAAGGUGUGUCAAGGCAUGAGAGGCAGCCAUUGACCAGUAGUAUGGGUCAUCAGCCAGUAAAUAUCACGAGGUCUAAGGCACUAGUCAGUGGGUAGAGAGGCAUGGCACAUACACAUCACCUGAGUUCAGUUCACAUAACUAGGCCCUAGGAGCCAGGUAGUGUUCAGGAACAGAAUGUCCAUCUCUCUCUAAUCAGGGGCUGAGAGAGAGAGAUCACAGAACAGAGUAGAUACCAAGGGAUCAUGGGGAGCCCUUCAGAGCCCUGGCAGCUGCCCCAGGCCUAAUCUCUGCAAAAGCAGGGGCUGUCAGAAGCCCUUGUAGAUGGGAGGCCAAGCAGCUGUGGGGUUCCUGCCUUCGUUGGAACUGGCUCCAGAGCAGGGCAUUCCUGAGCACAGAAGGGAAAGGUAUCUACAGGCCCAGCCCAGAGAUUCCAGGUCCAGCCAAGGACAAAAUACAAGGACAGCUGGUUCUCCCCAGUGGAUUGUGACAGCCCCUGCAAGUCAUGUGGGGCUUCCCCAGCCCCAUCCAUCCUGAGCCAAGCAUUCUCUGUCCAUCGAAGGUGAGGAGAUUGCUGGUCUACCCCUUAUUCAGCAUAUCCUCAGAAAUGCAGUUAAAGCCCAGAAUUCUAAUAAAGGAUCCUCAAACUUUGGGUUUCUCUAGUUAUCUCUAAGAAUCUUGUAAUUAUUAUAAAUAUUAAAUAAGCAUUUAAUGUUAAAUAUUUAUUUAAUAUUAAAUAACUAAUAUUAAUAUUAAAUAGAUACCAUAAAUAUUAAAUAAAGGAUACUAUAAAUAUAAACGCUAUUGAAAAGUAAAUGACAAGAUUGCUAGUGAUAGGGAGGUUUAGUAUCACCACUCCAAACCUAUAUCCUAAGCAAUAGCCACACAGUGCAGCAAGUGCUUGUUAAGUUGACCUUCCUACAGAGCGAGGUUAGUUAGCUUUGUGUGGUCUUGCACGCCCGUGUUGGCAUUGUGUGCUUUCAUUGGUGUUCAAAUCUUAGCAAAAUGUUUUUUCCCUUGCGCAUUUUGCACCCAUACACAGUGGAGACUCUCAGCUAAGCUAAGGAAUGUAUCCACUUAGCCCUUUUAUUUAAUUUUCAUUCUUCCACAAGAUUAUAGUGAAGUCUGCUUUCAUUUUAAUAGAAUUUUCCAUAGCUACAUCGUCAUUUUCUUUUUGUAAUCACUGCUCUGUUUUUCAUCCUUUCUUAUUUUAGUUAUUUACUUGACUUAUAAAUGGCUCUGUAGAAUUCAAGCUUUAUAAAGAAAGCUUUUGUAAUGAGCAUGUCUUACUGUUCUGAAGCUGUAAGUCAGUGGAAGAGUGGAAAUGCUGAGCAAGGGUGUGACAGGGCAAACAGGGCACUUCCAGCAGGAUUCCCUCCCCCUCGGUGGCAGCCCUGAGCAAUCCACCUCCUGGUGAUCAGAGUUUCUGGAGAUUCCCCCUUAUGCUCCUGAGGUUUCUCCCCAGAGGGAGCUUCUGCC
rnacentral:lncRNA from 1 species